GAUGUUUCAGGACCCCACCUUGAUGUUUCAGGACCCCACUUUGGGUCCUGACCCCAGCUUUGGGAACCACUGAUGGAGAAAUGUCUCUGUUAUUAAUGAAAACAGAUAACUUAGUUUAUCAAUGAUGGUUGAACCCAAAACACAGGCAGGCACAAGGAUUUGAAAACAAAAACAUGUGAUUUAUUAAGUAAUCAAAGGAAAACUUACUUUUAAAGAUGAUGAAAACUUGACUGAAGGUUUGAAAAACAGAAAAUGAUCCACUGAGCAACAGAAGACUGGUUAAAUCUAACAGGAUGAGUGAGAAGUGGAAACACCUGGUGAUUACAGGUGAUGAACAGGUGUGAGGGGCAGGUGGGAACACUGAGAAACUGACUGAAGCUAAAGUGGAAGAAAUGACAGGAAACACCAGGAGACCAGACAGGAAA